AUAGGGAGUCGGACCUGCCCAGUGAAAGUAAUUUUAAACGGCCGCGGUACUCUGACCGUGCAAAGGUAGCAUAAUCAUUUGCCCUAUAAUUGAGGGCUAGUAUGAAUGGUUUGACGAGAGUAUAGCUGUCUCUUAGUGAUUAUUUAAAAUUUUAUUUUUAGGUGAAGAAGCCUAAAUAUAAUUAAAAGACAAGAAGACCCUAUCGAGCUUUAAAUAAAUUAAUAAAUUAUAUAAAAUAUUGUUAAUAAAAUAAUAUUUAUUAAAAAUUUUGGUUGGGGCGACAAAGGAACAAAGGAAGCUUCCCCAUAAUAUUUUAAACUAACUAGUGUUGAUCCAAAAAUUUUGAUUAAUGGAAUUAGUUACCGUAGGGAUAACAGCAUUAUCUUUUUUAAGAGCUCAUAUCGAAAAAAAGGUUUGUGACCUCGAUGUUGGACCAGAAUAUCCUAAAGAUGCAGAAGUCUUUAAAGGUUGGUCUGUUCGACCAUUAAAAUUCUA
rnacentral:rRNA from 1 species